rnacentral:lncRNA from 1 species
GGGCUGGGGUCCUGUUCCAUGCUGUGGAGGUUUUGUUCUUUCGCUCAUUGUGAUAAAUAUUGCUGCUGUUCACUCUGGGUGUGCUCUGCCUUUAUGAGCUGUAACACUCACUGAGAAGGUCCGCAGCUUCACUCUUGAGGCCAGCAAGACCAUGAACCCACCGGGAAUGAACAACUCCAGAUGUGCUGCCUUAAGAGGUGUAACGCUCAUGGCGGAGGUCUGCAGCUUCACUCCUGAACCCAGCAAGACCAGGAACCCACCAGAAGGAAGACAGUCCGAACACGUCCAAACAUUAGAAAGAACAAACUUUGGACACACCACUUUUAAGAACUGUAACACUCACCGUGAGGGUCCGUGGCUUCAUUCUUGAAGUCAGUGAGACCAAGAACCCACCGAUUCCGGACACAAUAUUAUCUCCAUUUUAUAUAGGAGGAAACAAGGCCUUAUAGAGAUUGUGUAAUCUAUGCAAAGACACGCAGCUAGUAAAUCAUAGAUCUGGGAUUCAACCUUGGAAAUAUGAGCCCAGGGACAAGUACAAAAAAGGAUGGUGUGAGUUACAGUGAGUAUGGCAGUUCUACAGGUGAGUACAUGGUUCCUGUCCUCAAGGACCUCACAGUCUCCUCUUGGUAACACAUGACUGCAGCGUUCAUCUUAACAUGGUUGAUAAAUGUUAUUCUGGAAGGAAGCAUAAAGCCAUGAGAGCAUAUAAGGGCUACAUAUACUCCAUGUAAAUGUUGAAUGCCUUUUCUUAACAUCCUGAAAGUGCUUUUUAUCAUUACUAAAGCAAUAUAGAUUCAUUGAAAUGCAAGCCAAAUACCUGUGUAAAUAAAGUGAAGACACAUUUAAUAUGAACAAAAGUUAAUAAGCCUACGACUCGGGAUGCUAUUAUCUUCUCAAAUGUUUAUCUGUAUAAUUUUAUAGAACUGGGAUCCCAGAGCUCACACCCUGGUAACCAAAUGCUCUGGCUCCAUGACUCAGGCCUUUCCACAUGGUGUUUCCUUAGCCUGGACUAUUCUUCCUUCUAAAUUUUGACUGGCAAGAUUUACUACUACUUCAGGUCUCAGCUGAAAUGUUAGCCUCAAAAUAAAUUAGUUUCCUUGUUAAACCCUUUUAUACUGUAAUAUUUUUCAUCAUUGGACUUACUACAGUUACAUAAAUAAGCGAUUUAUAUUUAAUGAGAGAUUUUUGUAUUUACUACUAACUCUUCACCAGUGACUAUUUCUUUCACAGUGUAUCGGAGCGGCACAUGUUGGAGAAGUGAUCACACAUUAGCAGCUCCACUUAGAGGCUUGUAGGCUGUUAUAUUUAAAUGUUAGACAUUGAGUGUUUUAAGUUUCAUUAUGGGAGAUUUUCCUGAAAAUAUUCUAUAGCAGAAGUACUUGAUAAAUACAUUUAAACUAAUAAUAAAUGUUGAAAAAAACAAUUAUUUUUCCACCUCAUCUUUAAAGUCUGAAUAAAGUUUAUUAUAUACCUACACCUGAAAGUAGUUAUUAAUUUUCUAUAGCUGAACAUCUACCUUGUUGACAUUUUUAUGCUAUAUAUGCAUGCUACAAUGAUAAAAUGCCAUACUUUGUACCCAAUAAAAUAAAUAACUGUAAAUAGAA